rnacentral:rRNA from 1 species
AUGAACGCUGGCGGCGUGCCUAAUACCUGCCAGUCGAGCGAACAGACGAGGAGCUUGCUCCUCUGACGUUAGCGGCGGACGGGUGAGUAACACGUGGAUAACCUACCUAUAAGACUGGGAUAACUUCGGGAAACCGGAGCUAAUACCGGAUAAUAUAUUGAACCGCAUGGUUCAAUAGUGAAAGACGGUUUUGCUGUCACUUAUAGAUGGAUCCGCGCCGCAUUAGCUAGUUGGUAAGGUAACGGCUUACCAAGGCGACGAUGCGUAGCCGACCUGAGAGGGUGAUCGGCCACACUGGAACUGAGACACGGUCCAGACUCCUACGGGAGGCAGCAGUAGGGAAUCUUCCGCAAUGGGCGAAAGCCUGACGGAGCAGCGCCGCGUGAGUGAUGAAGGUCUUCGAAUCGUAAAACUCUGUUAUUAGGGAAGAACAAAUGUGUAAGUAACUAUGCACGUCUUGACGGUACCUAAUCAGAAAGCCACGGCUAACUACGUG